rfam:Camelus ferus unplaced genomic scaffold scaffold856, whole genome shotgun sequence.
GAGGGUAAAGCUCGGUGGUAGAGCACAUGCUUAGCAUGCAUGAGGUCCUGAGUUCAAUCCCCAGUAUUGCCA